rnacentral:misc_RNA from 1 species
AAGUCGUAACAAGGUUUCCGUUGGUGAACCAGCGGAAGGAUCAUUACAGAGAUAUGCCCUCCCGGGCAGACCUCCCACCCUGUAUAAUUUACUCUUGUUGCUUUGGCAGGCCGCCCCCGGGCCGCCGGCACCCAGUGCUGGAGAGCGCCUACCAGAGGACCCCCAACUCUUGUGUUUAGUGUCGUCUGAGUACUAUGACAAAUCAGUUAAAACUUUCAACAACGGAUCUCUUGGUUCUG